GAUGAACGCUGGCGGCGUGCUUAACACAUGCAAGUCGAACGGAAAGGCCCUUCGGGGUACUCGAGUGGCGAACGGGUGAGUAACACGUGGGUGAUCUGCCCUGCACUUUGGGAUAAGCCUGGGAAACUGGGUCUAAUACCGAAUAGGACCACGCGCUUCAUGGUGUGUGGUGGAAAGCUUUUGCGGUGUGGGAUGGGCCCGCGGCCUAUCAGCUUGUUGGUGGGGUAAUGGCCUACCAAGGCGACGACGGGUAGCCGGCCUGAGAGGGUGACCGGCCACACUGGGACUGAGAUACGGCCCAGACUCCUACGGGAGGCAGCAGUGGGGAAUAUUGCACAAUGGGCGCAAGCCUGAUGCAGCGACGCCGCGUGAGGGAUGACGGCCUUCGGGUUGUAAACCUCUUUCAAUAGGGACGAAGCGCAAGUGACGGUACCUAUAGAAGAAGCACCGGCCAACUACGUG
rnacentral:rRNA from 1 species